CCCGCUAGCGGGAUGCUUUACACAUGACAAGUCGAACGGCAGCACGAGAUAAGCUUGCUUAUCUUGGUGGCGAGUGGCGAACGGGUGAGUAAUGUAUCGGAACGUGCCCAGUAGCGGGGGAUAACUACGCGAAAGCGUGGCUAAUACCGCAUACGCCCUACGGGGGAAAGGGGGGAUCCUUCGGGACCUCUCACUAUUGGAGCGGCCGAUAUCAGAUUAGCUAGUUGGUGGGGUAAUGGCCUACCAAGGCCGCGAUCUGUAGCUGGUUUGAGAGGACGACCAGCCACACUGGGACUGAGACACGGCCCAGACUCCUACGGGAGGCAGCAGUGGGGAAUUUUGGACAAUGGGGGCAACCCUGAUCCAGCCAUCCCGCGUGUGCGAUGAAGGCCUUCGGGUUGUAAAGCACUUUUGGCAGGGAAGAAAAGGCACGGGCUAAUAUCCUGUGUCGCUGACGGUACCUGCAGAAUAAGCACCGGCUAACUACGUGCCAGCAGCCGCGGUAAUACGUAGGGUGCAAGCGUUAAUCGGAAUUACUGGGCGUAAAGCGUGCGUCGGCGGUUUGGCAAGAAAGGUGUGAAAUCCCAGAGCUUAACUUUGGAACUGCACUUUUAACUGCCAGGCUAGAGUAUGUCAGAGGGGGGUAGAAUUCCGCGUGUAGCAGUGAAAUGCGUAGAGAUGCGGAGGAAUACCGAU
rnacentral:rRNA from 1 species